CAGCAGGCACGCAAAUUACCCACUCCCGGCACGGGGAGGUAGUGACGAAAAAUAACGGUGCGAGACUCAUCCGAGGCCUCGCAAUCGGAAUGAGUACACUUUAAAUCCUUUAACGAGGAUCAAUUGGAGGGCAAGUCUGGUGCCAGCAGCCGCGGUAAUUCCAGCUCCAAUAGCGUAUAUUAAAGUUGUUGCGGUUAAAAAGCUCGUAGUUGACCCUCAGUUCCGGACUGACGGUGCACCGCCCGGUGUCUCUCCGUCAUGCUCCGAACAGCAGGGACGACCCUGCCCUGCCGGCUCGCACGGGGUGCUCUUCAUCGAGUGUCCCGCGUGGCCGGCGAGUUUACUUUGAAAAAAUUAGAGUGCUCAGAGCAGGCUACUUGAAUGGCCUGAAUGGUGAUGCAUGGAAUAAUGGAAUAGGACCUCGGUUCUAUUUUAUUGGUUUUCGGAACCCGAGGUAAUGACUAAUAGAAACAGGCGGGGGCAUUCGUACUGCGACGCUAGAGGUGAAAUUCUUGGACCGUCGCAAGACGAACUACUGCGAAAGCAUUUGCCAAGGAUGUUUUCAUUAAUCAAGAACGAAAGUUAGAGGUUCGAAGGCGAUCAGAUACCGCCCUAGUUCUAACCAUAAACGAUGCUGACUAGCGAUCCGCCGGCGUUAUUCCCAUGACCCGGCGGGCAGCUUCCGGGAAACCAAAGUCUUUGGGUUCCGGGGGAAGUAUGGUUGCAAAGCUGAAACUUAAAGGAAUUGACGGAAGGGCACCACCAGGAGUGGAGCCUGCGGCUUAAUUUGACUCAACACGGGGAACCUCACCAGGCCCGGACACC
rnacentral:rRNA from 2 species